GACGAACGCUGGCGGCGUGCCUAAUACAUGCAAGUUGAGCGAUGAAGAUUGGUGCUUGCACCAAUUUGAAGAGCAGCGAACGGGUGAGUAACGCGUGGGGAAUCUGCCUUUGAGCGGGGGACAACAUUUGGAAACGAAUGCUAAUACCGCAUAACAACUUUAAACAUAAGUUUUAAGUUUGAAAGAUGCAAUUGCAUCACUCAAAGAUGAUCCCGCGUUGUAUUAGCUAGUUGGUGAGGUAAAGGCUCACCAAGGCGAUGAUACAUAGCCGACCUGAGAGGGUGAUCGGCCAAAUUGGGACUGAGACACGGCCCAAACUCCUACGGGAGGCAGCAGUAGGGAAUCUUCGGCAAUGGACGAAAGGCUGACCGAGCAACGCCGCGUGAGGGAAGAAGGGUUUCGGAUCGUAAAACUCGGUUGGUAGAGAAGAACGUUGGUGAGAGUGGAAAGCUCAUCAAGUGACGGUAACUACACAGAAAGGGACGGCUAACUACGUG
rnacentral:rRNA from 1 species